rnacentral:rRNA from 1 species
GAGUUUGAUCUUGGCUCAGAUUGAACGCUGGCGGCAUGCCUUACACAUGCAAGUCGAACGGCAGCACGGGAGCUUGCUCCUGGUGGCGAGUGGCGAACGGGUGAGUAAUGCAUCGGAACGUAUCCUGGAGUGGGGGAUAACGUAGCGAAAGUUACGCUAAUACCGCAUAUUCUGUGAGCAGGAAAGCGGGGGACCUUCGGGCCUCGCGCUCUUGGAGCGGCCGAUGUCGGAUUAGCUAGUUGGUGAGGUAAAGGCUCACCAAGGCGACGAUCCGUAGCAGGUCUGAGAGGAUGAUC